UUGCGCAGACCAAAAAAUCCCAACCUUUGUGAAUAGACUCCUUUCAUAUCGUAUUGUCAUUCUCCUGAUUUACUACCACCGUAUAGCCAUCAAGAACUCUGCAUUUUUGAGUAUAUGUUCUGAAUUGUGCGAAAAAUUCCUGAACUUCUUUCUGGAUUUGAUGCUGCCUAUUUUGAUAGGCCUUAAUCAGUACAUUUACUUAGAGCAAUAUGCAAAUGUGGCACUAGACAUUGCUGAAAAUGGCGCCUCUUCGAUCAAAUCUGGCGUUCAAUCCGUCAGCCAGAUUUUAGGGGUCUUGAAUUUCACCAAAAAACUCCAGCCCGCCAUAGAUUGCUGUCUCCUCUAUACUACUAAUAGCUCAGUUAGAUCUACGUCCAAUGCUGAUGCUAGGAAACAAAGCUUCUUUGCGGUCUGCUUGUCUUGUGUCUUUGAAAAUCUUUACAGGUUUUACGAGCUUUUUAUCAGUAUCCUUACGGUCAGACUGCACAAGCUUAGGCAGAAUUUAUUAUGUCUCAUCCAUGAAGCCAUCAAUGGCCUGAUCUACCUUUUCGCCUACCUGUCAAAUCUGUUCAAAUUUCUGCAAAGCGCGCGCAAAUUUACCUGUCAUUAUUCGUCGGCCGACAUGGUAAAAAUAUCAGUUCUCAUAGAUCACGCAUUUUCCAGAGUUGACCUUGGCUACAUUGAAAAACAUCUUGCUCUUGCUAUCGCCCUCAUCGGCAAUAAAAUUGACGAUAAAAUUGACGAAGUUGGUGGCUUUUUGGCCAAUAUCAAGUCAAAAACGGAAGGUGUGAUUUUAAUUUGUAUAAACAAGUAUCUCAGGGUCAUGAAUACUAUCUAUAUUAAAAAGAAUGAUUGAAAGAAGGACACUGCGGUUCUUUGUGUACUGCUGCCUUCCAUCUUGUCGCUUUUUUAACAUCAAAAACUCUCUGUGGAAUACCAACGCCCAGCAUAAGUGGAUAAGUUUACUCUAAU